rnacentral:piRNA from 1 species
UUGUUGAGGAUCCUUCAGAAGCAUAACUGCC